GACGAACGCUGGCGGCGUGCUUAACACAUGCAAGUCGAACGGCAAGGCCCUGCUUUUGUGGGCUGCUCGAGUGGCGAACGGGUGAGUAACACGUGAGUAACCUGCCCUUGACUUUGGGGUAACUUCAGGAAACUGGGGCUAAUACCGGAUAGGAGCUCCUGCUGCAUUGUGGGGGUUGGAAAGUUUCGGCGGUUGGGGAUGGACUCGCGGCUGAUCAGCUUGCUGGUGGGGUAGUGGCUUACCAAGCCUUUGACGGGUAGCCGGCCUGAGAGGGUGACCGGCCACAUUGGGACUGAGAUACGGCCCAGACUCCUACGGGAGGCAGCAGUGGGGAGUAUUGCACAAUGGGCGGAAGCCUGAUGCAGCAACGCCGCGUGCGGGAUGACGGCCUUCGGGUUGUAAACCGCUUUCGCCUGUGACGAAGCGUGAGUGACGGUAAUGGGUAAAGAAGCACCGGCUAACUACGUG
rnacentral:rRNA from 1 species